rnacentral:rRNA from 1 species
UACGUAGGGUGCAAGCGUUGUCCGGAAUUAUUGGGCGUAAAGAGCUCGUAGGCGGUCAGUCGCGUCUGCUGUGAAAACUCGGGGCUUAACUCCGGGCCUGCAGUGGGUACGGGCUGACUAGAGUGCGGUAGGGGUAGACUGGAAUUCCUGGUGUAGCGGUGGAAUGCGCAGAUAUCAGGAGGAACACCGAUGGCGAAGGCAGGUCACUGGGCCGCAACUGACGCUGAGGAGCGAAAGCAUGGGGAGCGAACAGG